rnacentral:rRNA from 1 species
CAGUCGCCGCGGUAAUACGGAGGGUGCAAGCGUUAAUCGGAAUUACUGGGCGUAAAGCGCACGCAGGCGGUCUGACAAGUCAGAUGUGAAAUCCCCGGGCUUAACCUGGGAACUGCAUUUGAAACUGUCAGGCUGGAGUCUUGUAGAGGGGGGUAGAAUUCCAGGUGUAGCGGUGAAAUGCGUAGAGAUCUGGAGGAAUACCGGUGGCGAAGGCGGCCCCCUGGACAAAGACUGACGCUCAGGUGCGAAAGCGUGGGGAGCAAACAGGAUUAGAUACACCUGUAGUCCCUGUCUCUUAUAC